rnacentral:rRNA from 1 species
UACGUAGGGGGCAAGCGUUGUCCGGAAUUAUUGGGCGUAAAGAGCGUGUAGGCGGUCCGGUAAGUCAGCUGUGAAAGUCAAGGGCUCAACCCUUGAAUGCCGGUUGAUACUGUCGGGCUAGAGUCCGGAAGAGGCGAGUGGAAUUCCCGGUGUAGCGGUGAAAUGCGCAGAUAUCGGGAGGAACACCAGUGGCGAAGGCGACUACCUGGCCUGUUCUUGACGCUGAGGCGCGAAAGCUAGGGGAGCAAACGGGG